rnacentral:tRNA from 1 species
CGGGGCGUAGCGCAGUCCGGAUAGCGCGCUUGAAUGGGGUUCAAGAAGUCGUUGGUUCGAAUCCAAUCGCCCCGA